rnacentral:lncRNA from 1 species
ACUUAUUUAAAAUUCACAUGUCCGACUUUCUUCCAGAUCCACUAAAUCAGUCCCGGCCAGAGGCGUUUUUUAUCAGGCUUCACCUGCGAGUCUCUGGCACAACUAGCUCUUCCUGAUGUGGCCAGCCGGAAACAGAAAUGGCGACUGGAACAUGAAAGAUGGGAAAACUCCUGAUGGAUGCUGUGAACAGCUCAGAAUAUACCCUUGUCCUUUGGAGCCUGCACACUCAGGGAUAAGACAGAUAAAUACACGGCUAUGAGAAGUACCAGUGUGGAAGGACCGUGAGUAUGAUAAACAGUCAUAGCAAAUGACGGAUCUACUUAAGAUACAGAAAAUUAUUUAACACUUUUUUUGAGACAGGGAGCUAAUAAAAAACUCAGACUGACCUUGAACUCAAGAUUUUCCUCUUUUACCUUUCUGAGAGUAGAGAUUACAACUGGGAGCCACAACACCCAGCUAAGAGAUGAUGAAUUUGGAUGUCUUGUCUGUGAAGACUAUGUGGUGAUACUUAAAUUGAGACUUGGAAAAUGAGAACGAAUCAAGUACAAAAAAGAAUUUUGUUUAGAAAAUUUUCAUCUGUGUGGUUUUCCUGUAAUAGCUUUGGCAUCUUGUAAUGGCUAGGUUUGGUGUCUAAGGCAUGCUAGGUUCAUAGAAAGCAUUCAGUUUUCCUUAGGAAAGUGUCCCAACUUUGGCUCCAGUGAUUGCUCGGUGCUUUCCUGGAAAACACGAAGACCAGAAUGAGUUUGCUUCCCAGAACCCAUGUAAAAAUGCCAGCUGUGGUGGUCCUACUUGUAAUCCCAGUGCUGGGCAAGUGGAGACAAGAGGAUUCUUGGAAUCACUGGCCAGCCAGUCUAGCUGAAGAGAUCAUCAG